GUUUCUUUGCUUAAAAUAGGUUUGGAUAAUCAAACAUUUCUUUUACUUGAAAUAUAAGAUUAUACUUUGUUUGAUAUACCGACUGGUUACAUUUCUUUCAUCUGAGAUAUAAAAAGUUAAUAUUCUUAUGACAUUCUUACAAUGUUUGAAAAUUUGCAUUGAAUUUGAAUAUAAUCACAACCUACUGCGAAAUUCCCAAGUAUCAUGAAUAUAUAGUGUAUAUAUGACCUAUGUGGGUGUGUUGUGCAUGACGUUCAAAAAUAUAUGCGGA